CUAAGUCAGUUCAUAUGAGUUGGGGGCCAAGGAUCUGGGCUUAAAAUCUAGAUGAAGCUUUUCUAGCAUUUUUUUUUCAUACACAGAAUUUUUAGAACUAAUGCUCCAUAUUAUGCAUCCAAGUAUUUAUAUUUUAGUUGACUCUUCUCCGAUUCUCUUUCCCUCUCUCUCUUCUAUUCCUGUCUCUCACUUUUCUCAUCCCCACUACUUCCCCAUGUGUAUGUCUUUGUCUGUAUGUCUGUGUGUCUGCCUAUUAAAAUAAAAUAACUUCUCAGAAUAAAUUCAUUUUCAGACUGAAGACCUUUAGCAGAAAAUUAUACUUUAUUAACAUCUAUUGGUAAAGUUAUCUAAGAUGUACCAUCUCAUCCUUCACUCCAUAAGAAAAGAGAAGGACAGAAUUAAACAUGGGGACAGAUGAAGAAGUAAAGAAGAUGAAAAUGAGGAAGAUAAAAAACAAACUGAAGGUAAUUAAGCAAUUGCUGGAAGAAGGACUAGACGAAGGAAAAUUGAAUUGGAGACUAUUAUUCUAAGAGAUGUAACUCAGGAAUGGAAAACCAAACAUCGUGUGCUCUCACUUAUAAGUGGGAGCUAAGCUAUAAGGAUGCAAAGGCAUAAGAAUGAGACAAUGGACUUGGGGGACUCGGGGGAAAGUGUGGGAGGGGGUGAGGGAUAAAAGACUACACAUUGGGUACUGUGUAUCCUGCUCGGGUGAUGGGUGCACCAAGAUCUCAGAAAUCACCACUAAAGAACUUGUUCAUGUAACCAAACACCAGCUGUUCCCCAAGAAACCUACUGAAAUAAAAAAAAAAUCAAUUAAAAAAUAGAAAAAGAAAGGAUGGAACAGAACAAGGGAAUGAAAGAAGGACCUAGAAGAAAUGAAAUAGG
rnacentral:lncRNA from 10 species